rnacentral:rRNA from 1 species
GAUGAACGCUGGCGGCGUGCCUAAUACAUGCAAGUCGAGCGAACAGACGAGGAGCUUGCUCCUCUGACGUUAGCGGCGGACGGGUGAGUAACACGUGGAUAACCUACCUAUAAGACUGGGAUAACUUCGGGAAACCGGAGCUAAUACCGGAUAAUAUAUUGAACCGCAUGGUUCAAUAGUUAAAGACGGUUUUGCUGUCACUUAUAGAUGGAUCCGCGCCGCAUUAGCUAGUUGGUAAGGUAACGGCUUACCAAGGCAACGAUGCGUAGCCGACCUGAGAGGGUGAUCGGCCACACUGGAACUGAGACACGGUCCAGACUCCUACGGGAGGCAGCAGUAGGGAAUCUUCCGCAAUGGGCGAAAGCCUGACGGAGCAACGCCGCGUGAGUGAUGAAGGUCUUCGGAUCGUAAAACUCUGUUAUUAGGGAAGAACAAAUGUGUAAGUAACUAUGCACGUCUUGACGGUACCUAAUCAGAAAGCCACGGCUAACUCCGUG